UUGCUUGUUGUCCAACUCCUCCCCAUUGAAAUGGACCCUCAUGCCUCCCCCAGUGCUUGUGACCCCCACGUCCCUCCCCAAAACAGACUCCCCCACACCCCCUGCCACUAUGUGAGGGUCCCUACUGUGCUCCCUUUCUGCAGACAGCUGGAGGACCCACAGCUGGGUGCAGGUUCUGGCCACCCGCUGGUCCCCCCAGUCCCCCCUCAGCCCAAUCUGUGCUGUGGGUGCCUCUGGUGGCCCCGUCCUCAUCUCCUGGCCGGGGGGGAACCGUCCCCAGGAGGUGUUGGGGCUGGGGAACAGCACAGAGCUGCUGCUCAGCCCUGGGGGAGCUGGGGGGCUGUGUGAGGUUCGCUUCAAUGCUUCCGGGCCCCACAUCCAGAGGAGCACGGAGCUGCAUGAGGCUGUGGGUGGCUGCCCAUUGCCCAGCGCUGUGGGAAUGGCCGUGGCUGGGAUAUUGCUGCUGCUGCUCAGCCUCUGCCUCAGUGCCCGUUGCCUCCUCCCUGCAAGGGCAGCCCAAUGCUGGGACCACAUUGCUGCCCCAUCUUCAGCCCAUCAGCCAACGGUCCUGGAGCCUCCUGAAUCACAGGGAGAGCUGCUGUAUGCACACCUCACCCUAUCCGGACCCACACCGCCAUGACACCGCCAGCCAACACCACGCUGGGAUUUCCCAGCCCGUUUUGCCUAAACAAAUAAACGGCUUUAAGCUUUAAAAAAACAGCUCGAAGCGCUGCGCUCCUUCCGUCCCCUCACCACCCCCCAAAAUGUCCCCAACCACCACGCGCUUUGCGAGUCC
ensembl:lncRNA